ACCAACAUCUUCCAAUACUCCUAGUUUAAUCCAGAAAGAGUGUUCUUACAAACUCUUUGUCACGAGGGUCAAGCUUGCCUAGGAAGUUCCAAACUUCAAGCCUAGGGGUGUGCAUAAUUAGGGUAAAAUCAAAAAAAUUCAGUUAAACGACCGAAUUCGGUUAAUCGGUCGGUUAACUAAAUUUUUUUAAUCAUGAGUCGGUUAAUUUUUUUUAUUUUUCAAUUAACGGUUAAUUCAAUUCGAAACCGAUCAGUUAACCGAAUUUUUUCAGUUUAAUCGAAAAAAUUAAUAAAUAAAAAUAAAAUUCUAAAACUAAAAGUCUAAAACUAAAACUAAUACCCUUUCCAUUCCAUUCACGUCCGCCUGUUCCGAUUUGGUUUCCUCACAAAUUUUUCUCUAAUUUUUCUUGUUCUUCUCUGCAACUUUGUCAAUCCUCAAGCCUCAACUCCCUGCAACUUUCCAAAAAGAGUUUGGUUAGAGAAGCAUGAACAAUAUCGGUCUGAAACAUAACAUACCCAUAUGUUUCUUUAGCUUCAGUUGGAGAAAAUGAGUUGAAUUUGUAUCAAGCUAUGUAGGGUCUUUACAGACCAGCAUGACAAAUUAAAUUAUAAUUUAAAUGUAUCAAGCUGCUGUUUUAGUGUUUCAAAUUGAGCAUUUCCAUGUUGUCAUAAUUUUCUUUCUUGAAUUUAAACCGUGAGAGAUUCAAUAGGCUUCAUUCA